GUCGCUUUGGCUGAGUGGUUAAAGCGCUGCCCUGCUAUAUCUAGCAGUUCAGGCAGUCCCUUCGGGGGCGUAGGUUCGAAUCCUGCAGGCGACG
rnacentral:tRNA from 1 species